rnacentral:lncRNA from 1 species
UUUCAGUCUAUAGUUUAGAUUUUCUUAUUUUCAAUCUACGUUUUGGAAACAAUUGUUCAUAUUUCCUUGUGCUAUGUCCUCUUAGUACUUUCCUCUCUCACUGCACAAAAAUAGCUGGACUUAUCUUUCUGCCUCUGUCCUCAGUUCAUCUCCCUGUUCUAGAAGAUAAGAUUAGAGGCCUUGAUCCCCCUGCUGUUAGAAGAAGACCUCAAUCUCUCACUGUCUCUAUUUAAUCAGAUCCCUAUUUUAGCUGUAGCAAGGCUGUCAACAAAAGAAAAUAAGCUAUCCCCCAUCAAGGGGUUAAAUUGGAUUUCACAGUAUGCAAAGGCUCUUCUGAGCAAAAUCCCACCUGCACCCUUCGUCAGGCAAAUUACUUCUGACUUUUAAUUUAUUUCUCUAGGAAAUGGAAAGGUAUGGCAUAACCAAAGUCAACAGGGAAUAAAGUACAAGGUGUAAUCAGGUGCUCGCCAAUUGCAGGCUCCCUUCCCUGUCAGCCUUAAUAGGGUCUCAGAACAUACAAUUUAUAGAAUGCAUGACAUGUCCUCUCUGUUCUGAGUUUUAUUUUGGACUUGUCUAGUUAAUGGCCCCAUCAAGUGACAACUGACGUUUGCUUGAUGUAAUGGUGCCUGGAAGAUGUGUAUAGUGUACAUUAAGGCCCGGUCUGAGAGUUUGUAGAAUAAGAUCAAGUAACUGAAAUGGAUUCUUGACUUCCUAACAUAUAACAAUUAAACCGGGGAAGAAAUCUGAUUCAAGUGAUGGCAUUAUUCGCUUUUUAGGAUUACGGAUAUCAAGUAGAGGGGUGCAUGUUGAAAACCAGGGAAAUAUGCCUUUAUAGAUGAGGUUACCGUUUUGUGACUAGAGAGGUUUAGCAGUGACUCACUAAAUAAUUUAAAUAAUAUGGUUUAAUAUGGUCCCCUUUCUAAAAUUUAACUGAAUAUAAAAGUAUUGCUAUGAUUUAAUUUCACAAAACCAAUUUUAAGAGAUAGAGGAGAUUCAUAUAAAUUCAUAACUUCAAGUACACACUGCUGUGGGGAAAAUGGCAAACAUUUUUGUCUCUGCGAUUAAGGUUGAAAAUAUUUUUAAGACACAAAUUUAAUAAGUGUGCAUGGAAUGCUUCUUCAAUGAAGGAAAAAGGGGAUGAUGAUGGAAAUUUCCAUUUUCAUUAUAAAUUAGGAAUCAGUAAUUUUCUGGCAGGUUUUUUUUCCGAUAUUAUUUAACAUUUAAUUCAAGCUAGCUUUGAAAUGAAAUUUAAUGCCCCUAAAGAGUUUAGCUCUUUUUCCAUUACAAAAUAUUGUUGAUUAAUUCAUACUUCUAUUGAGCAAAUUUUGGAUAAGUAAAUCAGUAUUAUUCACUGGAUGGAGAAUAGGGGAAGGUUACUGGGCAGGAAUAACUUCUUCAAGUUGUAUAUAAAUAAAACACUUUGGGCUGACCUAUUAUAAUUGAGUUUCAAAUGGUAUUUUCAUACUUAUAAUGGCUUCAACUGGUCAUUUAAAUGAAAUUUGUUAAACCAACUCUAAAUUAUGGAUUUCAGGGGAGUUCCCAUCAUGGCUCAGUGGAAACGAACCUGACUAGUAUCCAUGAGGAUGCAGGUUCAAUCCCUGCCCUUGCUCAAUGGGUUAAGGAUCCAGGUUUGCUGUGAGCUGUAUGGCUUAGAUCUGGCCUUGCUGUGGCUGUGGCAUAGGCUGGCAGCUGCAACUUGGAUCCAACCUGGAAACUUCCAUAUGCUGUACCUAUGGCCCUAAAUAAAAUAUGGAUUUCUAGAGAGCAUGGUGUUAGGGUGAGGGUCUGGGAAUAUCACAAAAGGAAAAAAACUCAUUACACUUAUUACAAAUAGAGACUUGCUAAGAUCAUUGACACCUUAAAUCAUUGUGAUGUAGCAGUAGUAUUAAUAUUUAUUUCAAGCAGACUGGCUCUUUUAAGAAUGGAAAUCUUCAGGAAUACUACACAGCCAUAAAAAAGAAUAAAAUAAUGCCAUUUGUAGCAACAUGGAUGGACCUAGAGAUGAUCAUACUAUGCGAAGUAAGUCAGACAGAGAAAGACAAAUAUUAUGCUAUCUAUUAUAUGUGGAAUCUAAUAAAAAUGAUACAAAAGAACUUCUUUAUAAAACAGAAAAAACUCAUAGAUUUUGAAAUCAAACAUGGGAGGGAGGGAUAAAUUAGGAAGACAGGAAUAGUAUAUACACACUACUGUACAUAAAAUAAGUAACUAACAAAGACCUAGGGUAGAGCACAGGGAAAUCUACUCCAUAUUCUAUAAUAACCUAUAUGGGGAAAAAAGAAUGGAUAUAUGUACAUGUAUAACUGAUUCACUUUGUUGUAUACCUGAAAUUAAUGAAUUAUAAGUCAACUAUACUCCAAUAAAAUUUUAUUUAAUAAGAAUGGAACUUUAUAGUAACCACUUCUAUAGGGACUUCCAAGGAGGGUGCCAGAAUUAUAAUUCCUAGUCUUGUCUGUUACCAAAGCCAACAAAUCUCCAUGUAGCUUAAUCUAUUUUGUACAGGAUUUAGUCUCUUUUGCAAAAAAAAACCAAAAACCAGUUUCAUCUAUUGAUCUCAUAUAUGGAAGAGAAGAUACACUUCCUACAGCCUAUCUUUUUCUUCUUUUCCUAUUUCCUGGUCACAGAAAUUGCCACCAGCUCUUAGAUUUCUCACCAAGAUGUUUCACCUUGUGUACCACUUUCUUGUCACUUGCUCUCCAAAGCAGAAUUAUUUAAUCCUGAGGCUAAGCUUAAACUCAACGUUGAAGAAAUGUCUAUAGUUCAACCACAUCUCUAUUUUUCUUUUUCUUUUUGGGCCGCAAGCAUGGCAUGUGGUAGUUCCCAGGCUAGGGAACCUGGACCAGGUUGCAACCUACACCAUAGCUGCAGCAAUGCCAGAUCCUUAAACUGCUGUGCCACGAGGAAACUCCCUACAUCUCUAUUCUUUUAAAUCUUGGUAGGGUAAUAAAAGUUAUGACAAUUUACAAGUAACAUGUGAUGGAGAAGUUAUGACCAUAAAGUAUAUGAAGUUAUGACCAUAAAGUAUAUAAUCCCAUGAACAUAUUUUUCCUGUCUUACAUUAACAAAUUAGUAAAGCACAAAAAAAACCCACAAUGUCCCAAGCAGCAUUGGUAUAUCUGCCUAUAAUGUUCUUUUUGUACUGUUCCCCUAGAUUACGUGUAAAAAUAAAUGAGCAAACAACUCUGAACAUUUUAAAAAUCAGUCAUUUAUAGAAAGAGUUAAAUGAUGAUGCUAUCAGAGUGGAAAGGAAACCAAGUAUCUGAACUAGCCUCCCUCCAUCUUCCUCUCUCCCAACUAUGGAAUAAAUGUUGGCUUUUCUAUUCAAGUUUCUUCAGCUCUUUGUUCAAUAAUCCAGCUUUAUUUUCCAACAGGUUUAUAGAUAAGCCUUUCCCCUUUAAAUCUGUUCAUCUUAUUUGUGAUCCAGAAGACAGAAAGCAAUAGCGCUAAAUCCUUAAGUCUGUUUGCAUACAAAUGGCGCCUUCCAGGCCUGAUUUACAUAACCCAAGCAGGUUUGGUCUGGGAAAUUCUUAUUCCCUAAGACUUGCAUGUGAGUCUCAAUUUCCAUCAAGGGAGAAUCCAUUAGUCUCCUUCAUUUUCUGAUUACUCAAGGCUUUAUCGAGGAGAGGGGAUUUAACUUGCCUAAUGGUGAGCAAUCCAUCCAUUUCUCCAGAUAUGGUAAAUUUUCUUUCUGGAUCUAGCCACAAAGCCAGGUACCUGGACC